GUCGCGAUGGCCGAGUGGUUAAGGCGAUGGACUAGAAAUCCCUUAAGGAUUCCCAGCGCAGGUUCAAACCCUGCUUGCGACG
rfam:Taenia asiatica genome assembly, scaffold: TASK_contig0012077